GAUGAACACUGGCGGCGUGCCUAAUACAUGCAAGUCGAGCGAACGGACGAGAAGCUUGCUUCUCUGAUGUUAGCGGCGGACGGGUGAGUAACACGUGGAUAACCUACCUAUAAGACUGGGAUAACUUCGGGAAACCGGAGCUAAUACCGGAUGAUAUUUUGAACCGCAUGGUUCAAAAGUGAAAGACGGUCUUGCUGUCACUUAUAGAUGGAUCCGCGCUGCAUUAGCUAGUUGGUAAGGUAACGGCUUACCAAGGCAACGAUGCAUAGCCGACCUGAGAGGGUGAUCGGCCACACUGGAACUGAGACACGGUCCAGACUCCUACGGGAGGCAGCAGUAGGGAAUCUUCCGCAAUGGGCGAAAGCCUGACGGAGCAACGCCGCGUGAGUGAUGAAGGUCUUCGGAUCGUAAAACUCUGUUAUUAGGGAAGAACAUAUGUGUAAGUAACUGUGCACAUCUUGACGGUACCUAAUCAGAAAGCCACGGCUAACUACGUG
rnacentral:rRNA from 1 species